GAUGAACGCUGGCGGCGUGCCUAAUACAUGCAAGUCGAGCGAACAGACGAGGAGCUUGCUCCUCUGACGUUAGCGGCGGACGGGUGAGUAACACGUGUAUAACCUACCUAUAAGACUGGGAUAACUUCGGGAAACCGGAUCUAAUACCGGAUAAUAUAUUGAACCGCAUGGUCCAAUAGUGAAAGACGGUUUUGCUGUCACUUAUAGAUGGAUCCGCGCCGCAUUAGCUAGUUGGUAAGUUAACGGCUUACCAAGGCAACGAUGCGUAGCCGACCUGAGAGGGUGAUCGGCGACACUGGAACUGAGACACGGUCCAGACUCCUACGGGAGGCAGCAGUAGGGAAUCGUCCGCAAUGGGCGAAAGCUUGACGGAGCAACGCCGCGUGAGUGAUGAAGGUCUUCGGAUCGUAAAACUCUGUUAUUAGGGAAGAACAAAUGUGUAAGUAACUAUGCACGUCUUGACGGUACCUAAUCAGAAAGCCACGGCUAACUACGUG
rnacentral:rRNA from 1 species